UGCGGAAGGAUCAUUACCGAGUGCGGGUCCUUUGGGCCCAACCUCCCAUCCGUGUCUAUUGUACCCUGUUGCUUCGGCGGGCCCGCCGCUUGUCGGCCGCCGGGGGGGCGCCUCUGCCCCCCGGGCCCGUGCCCGCCGGAGACCCCAACACGAACACUGUCUGAAAGCGUGCAGUCUGAGUUGAUUGAAUGCAAUCAGUUAAAACUUUCAACAAUGGAUCUCUUGGUUCCGGCAUCGAUGAAGAACGCAGCGAAAUGCGAUAACUAAUGUGAAUUGCAGAAUUCAGUGAAUCAUCGAGUCUUUGAACGCACAUUGCGCCCCCUGGUAUUCCGGGGGGCAUGCCUGUCCGAGCGUCAUUGCUGCCCUCAAGCCCGGCUUGUGUGUUGGGUCGCCGUCCCCCUCUCCGGGGGGACGGGCCCGAAAGGCAGCGGCGGCACCGCGUCCGAUCCUCGAGCGUAUGGGGCUUUGUCACAUGCUCUGUAGGAUUGGCCGGCGCCUGCCGACGUUUUCCAACCAUUCUUUCCAGGGUGACCUCGGAUCAGGUAGGGAUACCCGCUGAACUUAAGCAUAUCAUAAGGCGGGAAGGAAUCNUUACCGAGUGCGGGUCCUUUGGGCCAACCUCCAUCCGUGUCUUUGGUACCCUGUUGCUUCGG
rnacentral:rRNA from 1 species